rnacentral:rRNA from 1 species
CCUACGGGAGGCAGCAGUGGGGAAUAUUGGACAAUGGGGGCAACCCUGAUCCAGCCAUGCCGCGUGUGUGAAGAAGGCCCUCGGGUUGUAAAGCACUUUCAGUGAGGAAGAACGCCUGGUGGUUAAUACCCAUCAGGAAAGACAUCACUCACAGAAGAAGCACCGGCUAACUCCGUGCCAGCAGCCGCGGUAAUACGGAGGGUGCGAGCGUUAAUCGGAAUUACUGGGCGUAAAGCGCGCGUAGGUGGCUUGAUAAGCCGGUUGUGAAAGCCCCGGGCUCAACCUGGGAACGGCAUCCGGAACUGUCAAGCUAGAGUGCAGGAGAGGAAGGUAGAAUUCCCGGUGUAGCAGUGAAAUGCGUAGAGAUCGGGAGGAAUACCAGUGGCGAAGGCGGCCUUCUGGACUGACACUGACACUGAGGUGCGAAAGCGUGGGUAGCAAACAGGAUUAGAUACCCUAGUAGUC